GACGAACGCUGGCGGCGUGCUUAACACAUGCAAGUCGAACGGUAAGGCCCUUCGGGGUACACGAGUGGCGAAUGGGUGAGUAACACGUGGGUGAUCUGCCCUGCACUUCGGGAUAAGCCUGGGAAACUGGGUCUAAUACCGGAUAGGACCCUGGGAUGCAUGUCCCGGGGUGGAAAGCUUUUGCGGUGUGGGAUGGGCCCGCGGCCUAUCAGCUUGUUGGUGGGGUGAUGGCCUACCAAGGCGACGACGGGUAGCCGGCCUGAGAGGGUGACCGGCCACACUGGGACUGAGAUACGGCCCAGACUCCUGUGGGAGGCAGCAGUGGGGAAUGUUGCACAAUGGGCGCAAGCCUGAUGCAGCGACGCCGCGUGAGGGAUGACGGCCUUCGGGUUGUAAACCUCUUUCAGCACCGACGAAGCGCAAGUGACGGUAGGUGCAGAAGAAGGACCGGCCAACUACGUGCCAGCCGCCGCCGUAA
rnacentral:rRNA from 1 species